CCUACGGGAGGCAGCAGUGAGGAAUAUUGGUCAAUGGACGAGAGUCUGAACCAGCAAAGUAGCGUGAAGGAUGACUGCCCUAUGGGUUGUAAACUUCUUUUAUAAAGGAAUAAAACGAGGCACGUGUGCCUUUUUGCAUGUACUUUAUGAAUAAGGAUAGGCUAACCCAGGGCCAGCAGCCGCGGUAAUACGGAGGUUCCGAGCGUUAUCCGGAAUUAGUGGGUUUAAAGGGAGCGUAGAUGGGUUGUUAAGUCAGUUGUGAAAGUUUGCGGCUCAACCGUAAAAGUGCAAUUGAUACUGGCAGUCUUGAGUACAGAUGAGGUAAGCGGAAUUCGAGGUGUAGCGGUGAAAUGCUUAGAUAUCACGAAGAACCCCGAUUGCGAAGGCAGCUUACUAAACUGUGACUGACAUUGAUGCUCGAAAGUGUGGGUAUCAAACAGGAUUAGAUACCCCAGUAGUC
rnacentral:rRNA from 1 species